rnacentral:rRNA from 1 species
ACGGCUCAGUUAACACGUGGACAACCUGCCCUUAGGACGGGGAUAAACCCGGGAAACUGGGUAUAAUACCCGAUAGGUCUCGAUUGCUGGAAUGCAUCGAGAUUUAAAGCUCCGGCGCCUAAGGAUGGGUCUGCGGCCUAUCAGGUAGUAGUGGGUGUAGCGUACCUACUAGCCUACGACGGGUACGGGUUGUGAGAGCAAGAGCCCGGAGAUGGAUUCUGAGACACGAAUCCAGGCCCUACGGGGUGCAGCAGGCGCGAAAACUUUACAAUGCUGGCAACAGCGAUAAGGGAACCUCGAGUGCCAGGUUACAAAUCUGGCUGUCGAGAUGCCUAAAAAGCAUUUCAUAGCAAGGGCCGGGCAAGACCGGUGCCAGCAGCCGCGGUAA